GUGAGAAGAGGUUUUAAAUUAAUUAGUGCCCCGGCAGCAAUUCAAGGAAAUACGGUAAUUAUGUAUUCAUGUAGUAUUAUUCACAUAUGACAGUGUGUUGGCUCAAUGUUCAUGACUAUUUGAAGAUCACAAAAAAACAAAACAUCUGCUGUAAAAUGACAUCUGACAGUUUACCUUUGCUUGUAUUUCCAUCUUCAGUAUGGACCCCACGAUGGUCAAGAGGUCGCUGACAAUGACCAGCACAUACCAGCCAUUGAGGAACUCCCCCUGGUCGUCCUCACACACUUUGCGGUUGUAGUUGUCAUGGAGGAAUCUGGAGAAUCUCUGGGAGGAAAGAUGUGACAAUAUGUGAGUCUAAUGCAGGGGUGUCCAUACUUUUGCUGAAAAAUGAAUGCACACAGGGGCCGAUUUGAUAGUUCUCAUUUUUAAACCUAAUACAAUAUAUAUAAAUACAUAUAUAUAUAUAUAUAUAUAUAUUGCGUGCGGGCCAUUAUGUGACGUAUGUAAGAAGGUGCGCACAAGAAAGAGUGAGAAACGCCUGUAGUGUAAUGCCCGCAGCUAAAAGCAACUGUGUGAGAACAUGCACUCAGGCAGUUGACUAUAUACUGACUAAAUAUAGACUAUAUACUGCGAUAAAGUCAUUUUCUAUAUCUAGUAUAAUUGAUAUAUCACCCAGCCCGAGUCAGAUGUAUCUAUGGUGUAGCUGCUGACAGAAGCACAUUGUAUACAUGUUAUAUAAUUUCAUAGUUGGUUAUAAUAAAUAAAUACAAUGUAUAAAUAUUCAGUUCAUAUUCACAUAUAAUGUGAUUAAAAAUGUAUUUUAUUUAGUAAUUUCAUGCAAGUAUUUGUUAACUUUAUUUUUGUUACAAAACCCAUGUAAAUUGGAGAGGAACAUAUUUUGUUUCCGGUUUGGUCACAUUGUUGGGGGGGACAAUUAAUAUGUGACGGAAUAAGGGAAGCAGCAUGAGACAGCAAACAUUUGAUGGAAGAUGUUAAUGGAGUCUCGGCUUGGAAAGAAACUUUAUUCCCUCUGAGUUUGUGAGGCCAAUGAGUUCUGACGGCAUUUGUUCGGCAUUUUUUGGCAUCAUUUGGGAGGAGAAGAAGGCGUGGCUGAGAUAAAUGUCUGUUUGAGAAAAACGAACAA